AAAUUUCAUCUGGGACCAUUAGCUAUGGCAACAGCCAACAAUCCAGUUUAUAAUCGCUUACUCGACACAAGGAUAUCGUUGGAAUACUAGUAUGUAUCUAGUACUAUUAAAAACAGGUGCAGAUGUCAAUUACGCUGCUUCCGAUUCCGAUGACACUCCGACAUUAACGCCAUAGUUAUGCUGUAAUAUUUGGCCAUCUCUUAAACGGGUAGUUUUGCAAAAGGUCUCAUGACCUACGCGACGAGCAUCCUUGCGGUGCUCCCCACUCAAAUCCAUACAUCCAUACAUUAGGCCAUGAAGAGACGGCCAAGACAUUUUCCGGACAUUUUUGGUCAUACACCGCUACACUUUUCUGCUUUGCGUGGUUUUGUGAAUAUCGUUGAUUUAUUGAUAAAAGCUUCUGGAAUAAAUAUUAACCCAGUCAAUAGUGAUGGUUUUACCCCACUUGAAUCCGCUUUUAUUCCAUUCGAUGUACCUCUUGAGGAUAAAAAGAAAGACUAGCACCUUAUUAUUUAAAAGUGGAGGGAAAACUUUUUUUCGAAAGAUACUGAAAAAGAGUUGUUCUUACAAUAUGGUAUUGUAAAUAAAGAAUAUGUUGAUGAUCAACCGUCAUGAAUCUAGUUUUUAUUCCAUAAGACAUUGAUUUUAUUUAAUACCAGCACUAGAGCUAGAGCUAGCGCUGCACAAAAAGUUGAGUGGAUUUAUUUUGGAAUUUAUCAAUAAAAAAUCGUCUAGUUCCAUUUAUUUUUA